rnacentral:rRNA from 1 species
AGAGUUUGAUCCUGGCUCAGAUUGAACGCUGGCGGCAGGCCUAACACAUGCAAGUCGAACGGUAACAGGAAGAAGCUUGCUUCUUUGCUGACGAGUGGCGGACGGGUGAGUAAUGUCUGGGAAACUGCCUGAUGGAGGGGGAUAACUACUGGAAACGGUAGCUAAUACCGCAUAACGUCGCAAGACCAAAGAGGGGGACCUUCGGGCCUCUUGCCAUCGGAUGUGCCCAGAUGGGAUUAGCUAGUAGGCGGGGUAACGGCUCACCUAGGCGACGAUCCCUAGCUGGUCUGAGAGGAUGACCAGCCACACUGGAACUGAGACACGGUCCAGACUCCUACGGGAGGCAGCAGUGAGGAAUAUUGCACAAUGGGCGCAAGCCUGAUGCAGCCAUGCCGCGUGUAUGAAGAAGGCCUUCGGGUUGUAAAGUACUUUCAGCGGGGAGGAAGGGAGUAAAGUUAAUACCUUUGCUCAUUGACGUUACCCGCAGAAGAAGCACCGGCUAACUCCGUGCCAGCAGCCGCGGUAAUACGGAGGGUGCAAGCGUUAAUCGGAAUUACUGGGCGUAAAGCGCACGCAGGCGGGUUCGUUAAGUCAGAUGUGAAAUCCCCGGGCUCAACCUGGGAACUGCAUCUGAUACUGGCAAGCUUGAGUCUCGUAAGGGGGGUAGAAUUCCAGGUAGCGAAAUGCGUAAGAUCUGGAGGAAUACCGGUGGCGAAGGCGGCCCCCCUGGACGAAGACUGACGCUCAGGUGCGAAAGCGUGGGGAGCAAACAGGAUUAGAUACCCUGGUAGUCCACGCCGUAAACGAUGUCGACUUGGAGGUUGUGCCCUUGAGGCGUGGCUUCCGGAGCUAACGCGUUAAGUCGACCGCCUGGGGAGUACGGCCGCAAGGUUAAAACUCAAAUGAAUUGACGGGGGCCCGCACAAGCGGUGGAGCAUGUGGUUUAAUUCGAUGCCACGCGAAGAACCUUACCUGGUCUUGACAUCCACAGAACUUUCCAGAGAUGGAUUGGUGCCUUCGGGGACUGUGAGACAGGUGCUGCAUGGCUGUCGUCAGCUCGUGUUGUGAAAUGUUGGGUUAAGUCCCGCAACGAGCGCAACCCUUAUCCUUUGUUGCCAGCGGUCCGGCCGGGAACUCAAAGGAGACUGCCAGUGAUAAACUGGAGGGAGGUGGGGAUGACGUCAAGUCAUCACGGCCCUUACGACCAGGGCUACACACGUGCUACAAUGGCGCAUACAAAGAGAAGCGACCUCGCGAGAGCAAGCGGACCUCAUAAAGUGCGUCGUAGUCCGGAUUGGAGUCUGCAACUCGACUCCAUGAAGUCGGAAUCGCUAGUAAUCGUGGAUCAGAAUGCCACGGUGAAUACGUUCCCGGGCCUUGCACACACCGCCCGUC